rnacentral:rRNA from 1 species
AAACAUCGCCUCCCGCAAAACCACAAUGUAUAGGAGGUCUUGCCUGCCCGGUGACUACAAGUUAAACGGCCGCGGUAUUUUGACCGUGCAAAGGUAGCGCAAUCACUUGUCUUUUAAAUGAAGACCUGUAUGAAUGGUGGAACGAGGGCUUAACUGUCUCCCCCUUCAAGUCAAUGAAAUUGAUCUCCCCGUGCAGAAGCGGGCAUAACUAUACAAGACGAGAAGACCCUUUGGAGCUUGAGAUGCAAGACCAACUAUGUCAAAAACCCUUAAAAGGACUAAACUAAAUAGCAACUGGUCCUCAUCUUCGGUUGGGGCGACCACGGGAGACAACAAAGCUCCCACGUGGACUGGGGAAACCCCUAAAACUAAGAGAGACAUCUCUAAGCCGCAGAAUAUCUGACCAAAAAGAUCCGGCUUCUUGCCGAUCAACGGACCAAGUUACCCUAGGGAUAACAGCGCAAUCCCCUUUCAGAGUUCAUAUCGACGAGGGGGUUUACGACCUCGAUGUUGGAUCAGGACAUCCUAAUGGUGCAGCCGCUAUUAAGGGUUCGUUUGUUCAACGAUUAAAGUCCUACGUGAUCUG